UUCUUAAAUUUUAGAACAGCCAAAAUAGUUUUUAACAAAGAUGGCUCGGAAUUGAUGGUAAAGUUUGAGGACAGGAUAACCAUUGUUAUAAUGAGACAUCUGAAGUCAAGGUCAUUGCUCCGGGCGGGAAAAGUCAACUUUCUAGGCAUAUAUAUAGUAGAGCAUCAAGGCCUAUCUUACCACACGCAUGGGAUUCUAGGUCAGUUCUUACAUAGGAAAGUCGUGUUGAAGAAAACGAAAAGUCAUCAAGGAAAACUAAUGGGACAGUUGAGAGUAAGUGGUAAUACACAGAAGCCCCGGCGACUUAUGGCAACUUUAGGCUUUCGACUCAAUCCUGCCAGCAAUGCCACUGUCCGGUGCUGGAUGGUACAACACAAUGGCGGUGCUCUUCUCGAUGGAAACAUUUCAGAUUACUUAGUACAGUAAAAUCGAAAUUGUAACAGAAUUGUUACAAAGUCACGAUUUUAUAAAUACAGUUUAUCGAUCAGUGUUAAUAGUGUAAUUGAAUCUUAAGUUUUAAUUACAUAAUACAAAACAUGAGUCUUAUAAAUUAGUAUAAGAACUACCGGUCAUUACAUCAAAUAUGUCCCGUUUUAAACUGAAAAAAAAGAAAAGACAGAAAAAAAUAUAAAGAAAAGUUUUAGAAUUUCAUUUUCAUGAUUGCAGUUGAGUUUGUUUUUGAUAUAUUUUACAAACAUUUUAACUUAGUUUGACUACAAAAUCUAAAAAAGAAGGCGAAAAUUCUCUUACAUUAUGUAAUGCUAGUUUUGAUAUUUUGUUAUGAACUGAAUUAAAUGCGGAAAUAUAAAAUUUACAAAAUAACAGUACUAUAUAACUAAAACUAUCGGGCAUUUAAUAGUAAUUUCGAUAAUGUUAUCCUAUACCACACAUGUUUUGUAAUCUGCAUCAAUCGAAGGAAAGAGUUUGUUGCUUUCUGAACAAAUUGUAAUUGUAUAUAUGUAUAUACAUGUAAAUAAAGUGUUCCCAAAUAAAAUACAA